AGCAGUACGAAAUACCUGCUCCAAGUUUAUUGGUUUAGAACAGUACGCCCUCCAUACGUAGGAGGGCGCUCCGGCUAUAAAAGGGGAGCUCCUCCGGCAAGGAAGUCAUUUCAGGAAACAGCUGGUUUUAAGUAUAUCACUACGUGUUACCAGCCCGUGUCCUUUGGCUGCGUUUUUUUUGGGUGAUCGGCUCUGCUCCAACUGUGGUAUGUACCUGGAUGGCUACUCUGUUUAGCAGUAGAGUUACUGUGUCUCAAACCGUGUUGUGCACUCUGCAGCUUGGGCAAUUAAUCAGUGUUGGGUGUGACAUCAUCGCUUGCCUUUGCUAUACAAAACAUUAGCAAACGGUACGUACCUUCUGCAGGUAGAUAACCUAUGAGUCAAACAAUCUUAACAUCAGCUCUUUGUAAAACCAGGGAAAGAUUGAAUCCCCGUUGCUGCUGGGCAGGGAGUUCCCUUCUACUCAGGGGUCAUCGGUGAGAGGACCGGUAGGUGUGUGCUGCGCCGUCUCCACACUUGGCUGGGGCAGGAGGUGUGGGGUGUGGCCUCGGAGGUGGUGGUCCCGUGUGCGUGUGGUGGUGCUGGUUUCCUCACGUUGAUAUGAAUGAUCACUGCCAGGGGUGAAUUCUUUAUACGUUCUUCAUUAUUUUUCUUGUGUUGGGGCUUCUCUGCCCGCGUUACCUGCCUCCAUCACUAGCCUCAGUCCUGCUUGUUAACCUCUUUAUUUAUUUAAAUUUGUAGUUGAAUUGUGUUUAGUUAAUUCCCAUUUUGUUUUGGGACCUCAUGAAUUGAUUUCAGUGAGUAAAAUUAAUUUGGUUCUCCAUACAUUUCAGUGGUUCAGUUCCUGUUGGGGCAUUAAUUUUAGUAUUUUAUGGUAUUUUACAUGGCCAGUUUUUAAAGUGUCUUUUAAAUUGUCUCUUCUAUAAAAUAAAACACACUUAUUGUAACUUCUGAAA